UCCUACGGGGGGCAGCAGUGGGGAAUAUUGCGCAAUGGGCGAAAGCCUGACGCAGCGACGCCGCGUGAGGGAUGAAGGUCUUCGGAUCGUAAACCUCUGUCAGCAGGGAAGAACGGUCACUGUGCUAAUCAGCAGUGAAUUGACGGUACCUGCAAAGGAAGCACCGGCUAACUCCGUGCCAGCAGCCGCGGUAAUACGGAGGGUGCGAGCGUUAAUCGGAAUUACUGGGCGUAAAGCGCUCGUAGGCGGUAUGUCAAGUCAAGGGUGAAAUCCCCGCGCUCAACGUUGGAACUGCCUUGGAAACU
rnacentral:rRNA from 1 species